rnacentral:rRNA from 1 species
UACGAAGGGGGCUAGCGUUGUUCGGAAUUACUGGGCGUAAAGCGCACGUAGGCGGAUCGGUCAGUUAGGGGUGAAAUCCCAGAGCUCAACUCUGGAACUGCCUUUAAUACUGCCGAUCUGGAGUCCGGAAGAGGUGAGUGGAAUUCCGAGUGUAGAGGUGAAAUUCGUAGAUAUUCGGAGGAACACCAGUGGCGAAGGCGGCUCACUGGUCCGGUACUGACGCUGAGGUGCGAAAGCGUGGGAAGCAAACAGG